ensembl:lncRNA
AAUUCUUAUGUGUAUUAAAAAAGUCCCCCUAUUUUUGUAUUCUUCAAAUUUUAAUGAAAAGAUUUUUUGGUAAAAUUUUGACAUUAUUGGUGAAUGUUAAACGAGAUGUCUUCUUAUUGCGUUAUUUCAUUAUUAAUUUGUUUUGUCUUGCCUUUACUCCUGUGCACCAGACUUUGUUCACUUAAAAUAAAUAAAUAAACGAAAUAAAAUAGAAAUAAAGAAAUAUUGAAAAGAAACAAAGCUACUUAUCAAGAGGUGUGGCUAUCAGGAGGCAUAGUUAACAGGAGUUGGGGUUAUCAGUGGGUGUGGAUAUCAGGGGGUGUAGUUAAUGAAGGUGUGGAUAUCAGGGGGUGUGGUUAUCAAAAGAUGUGGUUUUCAGGAGGCAUAGUUAACAAGGGGUGUGGUUAUCAAGAGGUGUGGCUAUCAGGAGGCAUAGUUAACAGGAGGUGUGGUUAUCGGGGUGCAUAGUUAACAGGGGGUGUGGCUAUCAGGAGGCAUAGUUAACAGGAGGUGUGGUUAUCAGGGGGUGUGUCUAUCAGGAGGAAUGGUUAACAGGGGGUGUGGCUAUCAGGAGGCAUAGUUAACAGGGGGUGUGGUUAUCAGGGGGUGUGUCUAUCAGGAGGAAUGGUUAACAGGGGGUGUGGUUAUCAGGGGGUGUGGCUAUCAGGAGGCAUAGUUAACAGGAGAUAUGGUUAUCAGGAGGUGUGGCUAUCAGGGGGUGUGGUUAUCAGGGGGUGUGGCUAUCAGGAGGCAUAGUUAACAGGAGGUGUGGCUAUCAGGGGGUGUGGUUAUCAGUUAAUAGUGGGAGUAACGGAUCAUCCCAUAAUAACAUUAAAUAUUCAUUAACCUUUUAUCUUAAUUCAGGUUUUUACUCACGAAAAAAACAUUCUGUGUUUUUCCUCGAAAUAG